GGGGAUGUAGGUCAGUGGUAGAGUGUACACUUUGAAUGUGUAAGGGCCCAGGUUCAAUCCCUGGCAUCUCCG